GAUCUGAGACACAUCCUAUACAGAACAUGAGGCUGGUGUCAUCACAUGGACCUAUUGACUUCCAGAUUUCAAUGGAAAAUGGAGAACACCUUUUAAGAGAGUCCAGACAAUCGUCUGCCUUGACUGAGAAGAUUGAGUGGGUUGGCUUUGCUGCUGCCCUGAGUGUAAUCUGUGUGGCUGCGGGUGUUGUUGGCUUGUGGCGAUUCAUUGCACGAAGAUCGCAUGAUGUGACUCCUGUAAAUAUGUAAACAAUAAAAUGUAAACAAGUAA